rnacentral:rRNA from 1 species
UGUAAGCGUAUACCAAAGUUGUUGCAGUUAAAACGCUCGUAGUCGGAAUUUGGCAGUUCCGGAAGUGUGCACGUCGUGUGCGCACUUUGCGGGGACUGCUUUUGUGGUCUUGCGUAGGAUGAGGCACUUUCAUUAGUGAACGUCCUCACGCAACCACUCUUUACUGUGAGAAAAUCAGAGUGCUCAAAGCAGGCAUUUGCCGUGAAUGUAUUAGCAUGGAAUAAUAGAAUAGGACUCGGUUCUAUUUUGUUGGUUUGUUGGGACUGAGUAAUGAUUAAGAGGAACAGUUGGGGGCAUUUGUAUUCCGGCGCUAGAGGUGAAAUUCUUAGAUUGCCGGAAGACAAACUGCUGCGAAAGCGUCUGCCAAGGAUGUUUUCAUUGA